GCCGAGGUGGUGAAAUGGUAUACACGCUAUCUUGAGGGGGUAGUGCCUGUUGGCAUACGGGUUCAAUUCCCGUCCUCGGUA
rnacentral:tRNA from 2 species